CAGUAGCCACGGUAAUACGGAGGAUCCAAGCGUUAUCCGGAAUCAUUGGGUUUAAAGGGUCCGUAGGCGGUCUUGUAAGUCAGUGGUGAAAGCCCAUCGCUCAACGGUGGAACGGCCAUUGAUACUGCAGGACUUGAAUUAUUGGGAAGUAACUAUAAUAUGUAGUGUAGCGGUGAAAUGCUUAGAGAUUACAUGGAAUACCAAUUGCGAAGGCAGGUUACUACCAAUUGAUUGACGCUGAUGGACGAAAGCGUGGGUAGCGAACAGGAUUAGAUACCCGUGUAGUCCCUGUCUCUUAUAA
rnacentral:rRNA from 1 species